rnacentral:rRNA from 1 species
AGAGUUUGAUCAUGGCUCAGAUUGAACGCUGGCGGCAGGCCUAACACAUGCAAGUCGAGCGGUAGCACAGAGAGCUUGCUCUCGGGUGACGAGCGGCGGACGGGUGAGUAAUGUCUGGGAAACUGCCUGAUGGAGGGGGAUAACUACUGGAAACGGUAGCUAAUACCGCAUAACGUCGCAAGACCAAAGUGGGGGACCUUCGGGCCUCAUGCCAUCAGAUGUGCCCAGAUGGGAUUAGCUAGUAGGUGGGGUAACGGCUCACCUAGGCGACGAUCCCUAGCUGGUCUGAGAGGAUGACCAGCCACACUGGAACUGAGACACGGUCCAGACUCCUACGGGAGGCAGCAGUGGGGAAUAUUGCACAAUGGGCGCAAGCCUGAUGCAGCCAUGCCGCGUGUGUGAAGAAGGCCUUCGGGUUGUAAAGCACUUUCAGCGGGGAGGAAGGCGUUAAGGUUAAUAACCUUGGCGAUUGACGUUACCCGCAGAAGAAGCACCGGCUAACUCCGUGCCAGCAGCCGCGGUAAUACGGAGGGUGCAAGCGUUAAUCGGAAUUACUGGGCGUAAAGCGCACGCAGGCGGUCUGUCAAGUCGGAUGUGAAAUCCCCGGGCUCAACCUGGGAACUGCAUUCGAAACUGGCAGGCUAGAGUCUUGUAGAGGGGGGUAGAAUUCCAGGUGUAGCGGUGAAAUGCGUAGAGAUCUGGAGGAAUACCGGUGGCGAAGGCGGCCCCCUGGACAAAGACUGACGCUCAGGUGCGAAAGCGUGGGGAGCAAACAGGAUUAGAUACCCUGGUAGUCCACGCCGUAAACGAUGUCGAUUUGGAGGUUGUGCCCUUGAGGCGUGGCUUCCGGAGCUAACGCGUUAAAUCGACCGCCUGGGGAGUACGGCCGCAAGGUUAAAACUCAAAUGAAUUGACGGGGGCCCGCACAAGCGGUGGAGCAUGUGGUUUAAUUCGAUGCAACGCGAAGAACCUUACCUGGUCUUGACAUCCACAGAACUUAGCAGAGAUGGAUUGGUGCCUUCGGGAACUGUGAGACAGGUGCUGCAUGGCUGUCGUCAGCUCGUGUUGUGAAAUGUUGGGUUAAGUCCCGCAACGAGCGCAACCCUUAUCCUUUGUUGCCAGCGGUCCGGCCGGGAACUCAAAGGAGACUGCCAGUGAUAAACUGGAGGAAGGUGGGGAUGACGUCAAGUCAUCAUGGCCCUUACGACCAGGGCUACACACGUGCUACAAUGGCAUAUACAAAGAGAAGCGACCUCGCGAGAGCAAGCGGACCUCAUAAAGUAUGUCGUAGUCCGGAUUGGAGUCUGCAACUCGACUCCAUGAAGUCGGAAUCGCUAGUAAUCGUAGAUCAGAAUGCUACGGUGAAUACGUUCCCGGGCCUUGUACACACCGCCCGUCACACCAUGGGAGUGGGUUGCAAAAGAAGUAGGUAGCUUAACCUUCGGGAGGGCGCUUACCACUUUGUGAUUCAUGACUGGGGUGAAGUCGUAACAAGGUAACCGUAGGGGAACCUGCGGUUGGAUCACCU